rnacentral:rRNA from 1 species
UACGAAGGGGGCUAGCGUUGUUCGGAAUUACUGGGCGUAAAGCGUGCGUAGGCGGGUUGCUAAGUCAGGUGUGAAAUCCCGGGGCUCAACCUCGGAACUGCAUUUGAUACUGGCGGCCUAGAGACCGGGAGAGGUGAGCGGAAUACCGAGUGUAGAGGUGAAAUUCGUAGAUAUUCGGUGGAACACCAGUGGCGAAGGCGGCUCACUGGACCGGUACUGACGCUGAGGCACGAAAGCGUGGGGAGCAAACAGG